GCAGUCGAGCGGCAGCACGGGAUACUUGUACCUGGUGGCGAGCGGCGGACGGGUGAGUAAUGCCUAGGAAUCUGCCUGGUAGUGGGGGAUAACGCUCGGAAACGGACGCUAAUACCGCAUACGUCCUACGGGAGAAAGCAGGGGACCUUCGGGCCUUGCGCUAUCAGAUGAGCCUAGGUCGGAUUAGCUAGUUGGUGGGGUAAUGGCUCACCAAGGCGACGAUCCGUAACUGGUCUGAGAGGAUGAUCAGUCACACUGGAACUGAGACACGGUCCAGACUCCUACGGGAGGCAGCAGUGGGGAAUAUUGGACAAUGGGCGAAAGCCUGAUCCAGCCAUGCCGCGUGUGUGAAGAAGGUCUUCGGAUUGUAAAGCACUUUAAGUUGGGAGGAAGGGCAGUUACCUAAUACGUAUCUGUUUUGACGUUACCGACAGAAUAAGCACCGGCUAACUCUGUGCCAGCAGCCGCGGUAAUACAGAGGGUGCAAGCGUUAAUCGGAAUUACUGGGCGUAAAGCGCGCGUAGGUGGUUUGUUAAGUUGAAUGUGAAAUCCCCGGGCUCAACCUGGGAACUGCAUGCAAAACUGGCAAGCUAGAGUAUGGUAGAGGGUGGUGGAAUUUCCUGUG
rnacentral:rRNA from 1 species